CUCUUCCUCUGCAUCUUCUGUUCUUCCCCAGAGUGUAAAGGAGACAAAGUCCUCCAGACUGAAGGACCUGUUGUUGCUGCUGAAGGACGAACCGUCACUCUGGGAUGUACUUUUGAUAAAAAUGCUGAUUUCAAUGUUUAUUUGUUUUGGUAUAAACAAGAAGAAAACAAAUUUCUGGAAUAUAUUUUGCAUCGAGACACACUCGGAACCAAAUAUAACAAUCCAGGUUCCAUCAAAAACAGAUUUGAUGCAAAAAUCAACAAAUCUGAAGUUCCUCUGACGAUCCAGGAUCUUGAUGUGUCUGACUCUGCUGUGUACUACUGUGCCUCCUCCAGAGGGUCGACCACCAACGGGACCACAUCCAAUGGAUAAACUACCACUGGGUCUUUCCUUUGCUGCCACAUUAGGCAUCAAUAAGCUGGUUAGACUUUUGAAGACACAUCUGGUCUUUAGACCUUAAACAUGAUCCAUGUGAUGUGUGAGUUGCAGACCUGACUGUUAGAUAACACAUUGUGCACAAAAACCCAUCUGUCCCACUGCCAAGCUGCUGGAAGA